CCCCAAUGACCUGGUAUGGUGUUGCAACAGGCGUAUAGGAACAGUUCUGUAAGUGGCGCAAUAACCUUUAGAAAAGUUACCCAUGAAUUUACCAAUCCCGUCAUACAUGGCAUAACAAGUGUAAUUACCUCUAUAGACUGUGAUUCCAUCUGGUGGCUUAACAUUUUCAACUAAGAGAGGGUAUUCUGCCGUCCAUGCCAUGCAGAGGGACCUAUUAAAGUCAUAUUG